rnacentral:rRNA from 1 species
GCAUAUCAAUAAGCGGAGGAAAAGAAACCAACAGGGAUUGCCCUAGUAACGGCGAGUGAAGCGGCAACAGCUCAAAUUUGAAAUCUGGCGUCUUCGGCGUCCGAGUUGUAAUUUGCAGAGGGCGCUUUGGCAUUGGCAGCGGUCCAAGUUCCUUGGAACAGGACGUCACAGAGGGUGAGAAUCCCGUACGUGGUCGCUAGCCUUUACCGUGUAAAGCCCCUUCGACGAGUCGAGUUGUUUGGGAAUGCAGCUCUAAAUGGGAGGUAAAUUUCUUCUAAAGCUAAAUACUGGCCAGAGACCGAUAGCGCACAAGUAGAGUGAUCGAAAGAUGAAAAGCACUUUGGAAAGAGAGUUAAAAAGCACGUGAAAUUGUUGAAAGGGAAGCGCUUGCAGCCAGACUUGCCUGUAGUUGCUCAUCCGGGUUUCUACCCGGUGCACUCUUCUAUAGGCAGGCCAGCAUCAGUUUGGGCGGUUGGAUAAAGGUCUCUGUCAUGUACCUCUCUUCGGGGAGAACUUAUAGGGGAGACGACAUGCAACCAGCCUGGACUGAGGUCCGCGCAUCUGCUAGGAUGCUGGCGUAAUGGCUGUAAGCGGCCCGUCUUGAAACACGGACCAAGGAGUCUAACAUCUAUGCGAGUGUUUGGGUGUCAAGCCCGAGCGCGUAAUGAAAGUGAACGGAGGUGGGAACCUUUCGGGGUGCACCAUCGACCGAUCCUGAUGUCUUCGGAUGGAUUUGAGUAAGAGCAUAGCUGUUGGGACCCGAAAGAUGGUGAACUAUGCUUGAAUAGGGUGAAGCCAGAGGAAACUCUGGUGGAGGCUCGCAGCGGUUCUGACGUGCAAAUCGAUCGUCAAAUUUGGGCAUAGGGGCGAAAGACUAAUCGAACUAUCUAGUAGCUGGUUCCUGCCGAA